GGGGACAUAGCUCAGUGGUAGAACGCUUGCUCUCCUUGCUAGGCGUGCUUGGCAUGCACGAGGUCCUGGGUUCAAUCCCCGGUACCUCCA
rnacentral:tRNA from 1 species